CAGACCAUGAGGCGACUGUGUGCAUAAGAAAACCUAGUAAAGGGUGUUCGGCAUAGGGUUGGGUGGAGUUAAACUGGGGUUAAAGGUCCAUCUGACUGGUCACUGAGGAGCCCAUUAGGAUGGAGAUGGUCAUAAUGGGUUGCGGGGGGUCCAGAGCCUAUCCAGGAGGCUACGGGCGCAAGGCAGGGAACAACCCAGGAUGGGCCGCCAAGCCAUCGCAGGACACACUCACAUACCAUGCACUUACCCACGCACACCCAUGGGCAAUUUGGUAACUCCAGUUAUUCUCAUUAUGUUUGUGGACUGUGGGGGGAAGCCGGAGUACCCGGAGGAAACCUCUGAAGUUUUUAAAGAUUCUAAUCUAUUUUUUUUUGACCAGACUGUCGAAAAUGUUUAAUUAGCUUGAUGAGUUAUCUCUUUGCUGGAUUCAUUCUUGAAAGUCUCUAAACAUGACAAUCCUCUUGUAGCUCUUGUCAUCUGUGGCUCUCUGUACCCAAAGCGAAAGUGCCAUGAAAAGUUCAGAAUAACAGGAUUUAUCCACACAGAAAUGAAAGAGAGGAAAUUGCCUGAUUAGGUUAAAAGAACCAAGCAUACAUCGGUCAAAGUGGAGAUGAGGUUAGAAAAAGGUCAUCAAAGUGGGAAAAUCUCCAAAAGAAACAAUAUAGGAAAUGCCAGAUGUUAUAUUUUGUUUCCUUCUGCCGUAAGGCGACAUGAUUAGAGGUCAGCAUUGAGAGGAGCCAGGGCAGAUUCAGGUAUUAGAUUUUGACUGGAAGUGUUCCUUGGAGAAAUACUGCCUGGUAUUAUUGUGUUCCUAAGACCAGGGUGGAAGGCUUCUGUGAGCUGCUGUUUCGUGCAUUUGUGUAUGGUUAGGCUGACAUAAACAUAAGCACUGACCUUGUAAUCGGUCUGUUGGCGUUGUUUAUACAUAUAAAAUGGAGACAGUUGUGUACCUGAGGGCCAUGCCAGUGUGCGGGCAUCAACACGGCCGUGACUUGUCUUCUUUUUGAUCCGGCCACGCUCUUUGGCAUGCAGACGCUGCUCUCGGCGCUCUCUAACUGAAAGAGACUAAUCGUGAGUCUUCCUCAUCAUUUACAAUGUUAGAAUGUGGUGUGGGCUGACAAAAGCAUAAUUAACUUUUGGAGACAGUCUACCUCUUCUAACUCGUGUCCAAAUCAAUUUUCAUUUAGAAAGACGACAUGCACAUUAAAGGAUUACUAUUUCAUUUUCAUGAGCCUCAUUAUUUUAAAUUGCAUUACAGUCCGUUGCUCAGUUUCCUCUUAAGCAUAAGAUUUGUCCUGUGCUGCAAAAGUGUAACAUAUUUAUUUUUUUUGUUUUUACUAUAUGGUAGCUUUUAAUGUUGUUGCUGUGGAUAGUAUGAGAUAUAUUAUAAUGACAUGUAAAUGCAAGUUUAUACACAAUAUUGCUAUACGAAAACCAGCAACCUGAAUGUUCAGCAGAUGGUAAGGCUACUUAAUCUAAUGAAUUUCCAUGUUCACCACAAUGACAUUUGUUGUUCAUGUCUCUAACCUGCUGUUUUUUUCAGAACCAGAAUUUAAUACUAUAGUAGAGUAGUAAUAUUGCCUCGGUUACAGUAUUGUUACCCAUUUGUCUGUUUUCAAUAACUACUUUUCAAAUCAAGGUCUUCACUAUAUAUGUUUAUUGAGAAAAUUUCACCUACAACUUCUAACAUCCAAGCCUGUUUUUAUUUUAAAUUUCAGAUGUAUCACAUUGUAGUUACAAUAUGGUUCUAUAGAUAUUCAUUAUGAUGAAUUAAUCAUUGUGAAAUCAGUUAUCAGCCAAUCUCUUUUUCUGGGGAUCAGAAUGUUGUUACUGUAUGACAUCUUAGAGCUUUAAACUUCUACGAUGCAAGAAAAUAAGUAAAUAUGAAUAAAAAUACAUGCUGUUCUUGAGAACUGCAUUUUAAAAUGACCCAUUUGAGUUUAAGUUCCCAGUUAUUGGUGAGCAUGAAUGUUUACCAGCGAAAGGCCACAACCCCUUCGAAGGU